GAUCUCAGCCUUCUGAGAAGCUAGGGUGACAGGCGUGAGCCCCUGGUGCCCAGCCUAGUCUAAUGUUCCUGGCUUCCUGCUGGAUGAGCCUCAUGUGUCCAUCAUCUCUACCUUCCCGAGGAAGAGCAAGUGACACUCGCAGAAGCUAAGUCACUUCCCACAGGGGUCGGCCAGUGAGUGAGGGGACAGGUUUUAUACCUGACCUGCCAGACUCUAGAACUUUCUCCACCAUUGCCUCUGCCUCCCACCCCAGCAAGUAAGAGCUGGACAUAUGUGUUAGAACUACCGGGGAGCUUUUAAAAAUUCUAACGUGCCAGGUGC